GGCAGAGUGGUGUAGUGGUUUGUGUGGUGGACUACAACUUUGGAGAUCAGGGUUCGAAUCUCUACUUGGUCA